GUGGGGUAAAGGCCUACCAAGGCGACGAUCUGUAGCUGGUCUGAGAGGACGACCAGCCACACUGGAACUGAGACACGGUCCAGACUCCUACGGGAGGCAGCAGUGGGGAAUUUUGGACAAUGGGCGCAAGCCUGAUCCAGCAAUGCCGCGUGCAGGAUGAAGGCCUUCGGGUUGUAAACUGCUUUUGUACGGAACGAAACGGUGAGCUCUAAUACAGUUUGCUAAUGACGGUACCGUAAGAAUAAGCACCGGCUAACUACGUGCCAGCAGCCGCGGUAAUACGUAGGGUGCGAGCGUUAAUCGGAAUUACUGGGCGUAAAGCGUGCGCAGGCGGUUAUGUAAGACAGAUGUGAAAUCCCCGGGCUCAACCUGGGACCUGCAUUUGUGACUGCAUAGCUAGAGUACGGCAGAGGGGGAUGGAAUCCCGCGUGUA
rnacentral:rRNA from 1 species